rnacentral:misc_RNA from 1 species
UGUGGGGGCGGGCUUGUCCGCGAUGGCGGCGGCACAUCCGGCAUUGAUGUGACCGACAGGACGCUAUCGCGGGCAAGCCCGCUCCCACA